rnacentral:rRNA from 1 species
GACGUAGGCAGCGAGCGUUGUUCGGAGUUACUGGGCGUAAAGGGUGCGUAGGCGGGUCUUUUAAGUCAGGGGUGAAAUCCUGGAGCCCAACUCCAGAACUGCCUUUGAUACUGAGGAUCUUGAGUACGGGAGAGGUGAGUGGAACUGCGAGUGUAGAGGUGAAAUUCGUAGAUAUUCGGAAGAACACCAGUGGCGAAGGCGGCUCACUGGCCCGAUACUGACGCUGAGGCACGAAAGCGUGGGGAGCAAACAGG